rnacentral:snRNA from 1 species
UAGGACAAAACUCAUCCUCCA